GGAUGUGAGGGUGAGCUUGCUGUGACAACUGUCACCCCAUUGAUCACUAUGUCUGAUUCAGCUGAUCUGGCGGGCUAGGCUGGUGUCCCCUUGCUCCCUCACUGCUCCAUGGGUGUCCUUCCUGACACUACAUAUUGAAGAAGAUGGCUCUCCCCUCUUAAGGAGGACCAAUCUUUGGUCAAGGGGUAUACAAGUAGCAGCACUCCACUGUAGAACCUCCAAACAAGCUCUCAAGUCUUGAUUGUUCCAGUUCUGAACCAGCUCCCUGCCAAUGUGCCUGGGGAGGCAACUGAAGAAGGUCCAAGUACUUGAGUUCCAACCACCCAUGUGGUAGAU
rnacentral:snRNA from 1 species